AUUGUAGUGUCGGGCUUUGCGAAAGAGGUUAACGCUAGCUGACAAGAGUAAGGAAAAACUGCAAGGUGAACUGGUUUUGAGCAGUAAACAAAACUCCCAAUUAAAAGAUGAACUACAGACAACAACACGUAGCUAUGAAUCUCAACUUAGUAUGAUGAGUGACCAUCUGUGUAGCAUGAAUGAACAACUUACUUCACAGAAAGAUGAAAUAGAUGCUCUAAAAAUGACUGUUGCUGCUAAGCCUGUAAACAAGAAGGGAAAACACAAAUAAAGUUUGUUACCUUGAAGUUAGGACAAUAAUCAUGGAUGUACUACAGUAGACCACUUUCAUAUCACAGGAUAUCAAUUUUCAGAUUUCCAGAUUUCACAGACUUUUAAUUUCCCUUAGUGUAAUCAAAUUAUGAACAUUUGCGUAAAUUUACAGUCAACAUUAUUUGCCGCAAGUAGUCCUUUCUUAAUGUAAUGUACAAUGUGUACCCACCAAGGUGAAGUAUAUGAACCAAAUAUGCAUUGUCAACCCCCUACCCCCACCCCCUCAAGGAAUCAGAAUAUGUAGCUAGUGCCAAAGGGUGUUGUGAAUUUCUGUUACCAAAUUAUUCAUGAACACUGUCAAAUUCCCCCUACACAUGGUAACAUGGUUCGUAAUCAAAUCCCAACCCUGUAAGAAACAUUGAUGGGUACACGAUGGUAUUUAUUGUGUGUGCACUACCAGUCAUGCACACUGACACUGCUUGAAUUGAAAUAGUUGUAUCAUGCUCAAAAAACAAGCCAAUACAUUACUGCUGUCAUAAACAGCUAAAUGUUGGUAAUUUAUAUAGAAUACACUGUAGAGUCUGUUUUCAGACACUGUAAGCCAACUAUUUUGGUAAUAUAUUAUUAAGAAUGUAAUUGUAUUAGAUUGUAUUAUGUUUGUGAGUUUAACAUAUUAAAUCCAUGUGAAAGUGUGAUUUCGGUAGAUGAUUGUGAAAGCACUCCAUUUCAGAAAUAUGUUGAUGAAAUCAAAUCUAAAUCAUGCAGAGUCAUUGUUUUAGCAAUUUUAAAUAUUUUGGGGUACGACCCCACCCACUUGUGCACGGUCCCCUCUUGUAACAUACUGUAGCUUGAAAUCCUGAGUUUUAACCUUCCGUAUCGCAUGAGGAUUAUAUGCUGGUAUGUUAUUUAUUUUCUAAAUAUAUUGUUCUGAAAUUCCGUAUUUUAUAUUAAAAGUCUCUUGAAGGAAUAUAAUUGACCCUUAUAAUGAAGCUCAGUUUCUUUUACCUACUGUAAAAUACUUUAUUUUAGCUGGGUGUUUUUGUGUCACUGAUUGGAAAAAAGGUCUAUUCGCUGAAAUUUAUUUUCACUGAAUCAUUACUGCAGUGAAAACAGCGAAAAUAAAUUCAAAGCAAAAAUAAAGUAUUCUACAGUAUGUUAUAACCAGCUUUUGGAACACUAUUACGAUGAAUUGCACGAAGGGAGAUUUCAUU